UAAACACCGUCGCUGGUGGUUGCCUCAAUACUUCAAGUCGAGACGAGAUCUCGGAUCUAGUGGCGCACGGGUGCUACGUGGGAAUCUGCCCUUGGGUUCGGAAUAACUUCUGGAAACGGCAGCUAAUACCGGAUGAUGACGUAGGUCCAAAGAUUUAUCGCCCAAGGAUGAGCCCGAGUAGGAUAAUGUAGUUGGUGAGGUACAAGGCUCACCAAGCCGACGAUCCUUAGCUGGUCUGAGAGGAUGAUCAGCCACACUGGGACUGAGACACGGACCAAACUCCUACGGGAGGCAGAAGUAGGGAAUAUUGGCCAAUGGGCGAACAGCCUGAUCCAGCAAUGCCGCGUGAGUGAUGAACUGCUUAGGGUUGUAAAAACUCUUUUACCCGGGAUGAUAAUGACUGUACCCGGGAGAAAAACGCCCGACUAACUCCUGAUACAACACCCGCGGUAAAACGGCCGGAAGCUAGAGUAGGUCAGGAAUAAAUGGGCGUAAAGAGCCCGUAGGGCGGCACUCCAGACACAGGAGAACGCCCGAGGAUCAAAACCGGACAAUGCUAGGAAACGCGCUAACCUAGAACUCCAGGAAGAGGCGAAGAGGAAUCCACAGGUGGUCGCGGAGAACACCGCA
rnacentral:rRNA from 1 species